UACGGGGGGAGCAAGCGUUGUUCGGAUUUACUGGGCGUAAAGGGCGCGUAGGCGGUCAGCACAAGUCAGUUGUGAAAUCUCCGGGCUUAACUCGGAAAGGUCAACUGAUACUGUGCGACUAGAGUGCGGAAGGGGCAACUGGAAUUCUCGGUGUAGCGGUGAAAUGCGUAGAGAUGUGGAGGAACACCGAUGGCGAAGGCAGCCCCCCUGGGCUGAGAUUGACGCUCAGGCACGAAAGCGUGGGGAGCAAACAGG
rnacentral:rRNA from 1 species